rnacentral:rRNA from 1 species
UAAGGAAUAUUGGUCAAUGGACGCAAGUCUGAACCAGCCAUGCCGCGUGAAGGAUGAAGGUCCUCUGGAUUGUAAACUUCUUUUAUCUGGGACGAAAACGGGAUUUUUAUCUCAAUUGACGGUACCAGAGGAAUAAGCACCGGCUAACUCCGUGCCAGCAGCCGCGGUAAUACGGAGGGUGCGAGCGUUAUCCGGAUUUACUGGGUUUAAAGGGUGCGUAGGUGGGCUUAUAAGUCAGUGGUGAAAUCUCCGAGCUUAACUUGGAAACUGCCGUUGAUACUAUAGGUCUUGAAUUAUCUGGAGGUCAGCGGAAUAUGACAUGUAGCGGUGAAAUGCUUAGAUAUGACAUAGAACACCAAUUGCGAAGGCAGCUUACUACAUAUAAAUUGACGCUGAGGCACGAAAGCGUGGGGAUCAAACA